rnacentral:rRNA from 1 species
CAGCAGCCACGGUAAUACGAAGGGUGCAAGCGUUACUCGGAAUUACUGGGCGUAAAGCGUGCGUAGGCGGUGAGUUAAGUCUGCUGUGAAAUCCCCGGGCUCAACCUGGGAAUGGCAGUGGAUACUGGCUCGCUAGAGUGUGUCAGAGGAUGGUGGAAUUCCCGGUGUAGCGGUGAAAUGCGUAGAGAUCGGGAGGAACAUCAGUGGCGAAGGCGGCCAUCUGGGACAACACUGACGCUGAGGCACGAAAGCGUGGGGAGCAAACAGGAUUAGAUACCCCCGUAGUCCCUGUCUCUUAUAC